CAGAGUUCAUGCCCUCGCGGGUAGAUCUCCCACCCUGUGUUAUCGUCACCUUUGUUGCUUUGGCGGGCCGCCCAGGCCCUCGGCCAGGCUACCGGCUCCGGCUGGUAAGCGCCCGCCAGAGGACCCCAAACACCUGAAUAUCAGUGUCGUCUGAGUACUAUGUAAUAGUUA
rnacentral:misc_RNA from 1 species